UCUUGCCAUUGAGUCUCGCAUAUCUCUGCAGUAUCUCAAGAGCUUCUUUGCUUCGGCCCCUUAUAAGCAGCCAACGAGGAGACUCAGAGACGAAAGGGAGAAAAAGGAGAGAGUAGACAAGAGGAAGAAGUGAAAUGAUUUGGUAUAGACUCCUCCAAGAAGUUCUACAAUGAUAGGCAAUUAAAGGGAGAGAAAGAAAGCCUG
rnacentral:misc_RNA from 1 species